UGAGUUCUCCCUGAGACUUUAAGUCUCCUGAAGGAACGUUAAAGACGAUGACGUUGAUAGGCCGGGUGUGUAAGCGCAGCGAUGCGUUGAGCUAACCGGUACUAAUGAACCGUGAGGCUUAACCUU
rnacentral:rRNA from 1 species